rnacentral:lncRNA from 1 species
GUCCAAAUCAGUCUUGAGUCCUUUCAUUUCAACUGUAGCUGGAGGGGUUGAUGGCUUGGGUGGAGGAAGAGGGGUUGUAUCUGGGAUUGUGCUAAUUACAUGUGAAGUAUUAGAUUGGUUCUGGCAAGGCUGUACUCGCUUUGGAAGGCAUAUUAUCUUGUCUUGCAUGACCUGCAGUGUGCACCCAAACACGCCGAUCAUCAGCAUGGCCACAGAGAGAUAGUCCGUGAACACAUCCCACCAGGGCUUCAGCAC